rnacentral:SRP_RNA from 1 species
GCUGAGCUUGGUAACACAAGCUUGUGACCUAAGUAGGAGCAUCAAGCUGAUGGUCGGAGUUUCUAGAAUAGUUUU